GAUGAAGAACGUAGCGAAAUACGAUAAGUAGUGUGAAUUGCAGAAUUCAGUGAAUCAUCGAAUCUUUGAACGCACAUUGCGCCCCUUGGUAUCCCGAGGGGCAUGCCUGUUCGAGCGUCAUUUCACCACUCAAGCCUGGCUUGGUGUUGGGCGACGUCCUCUUUGGGGACGCGCCUCGAAACGCUCGGCGGCGUGGCACCGGCUUUAAGCGUAGCAGAAUCUUUCGCUUUGGAAGUCGGGGCCCCGUCUGCCGGAAGACCUGCUCGCAAGGUUGACCUCGGAUCAGGCAGGGAUACCCGCUGAACUUAAGCAUAUCAAUAAGCGGAGGA
rnacentral:misc_RNA from 1 species